rnacentral:rRNA from 1 species
UACAGAGGUCCCAAGCGUUGUUCGGAUUCACUGGGCGUAAAGGGUGCGUAGGCGGUCGGGUAAGUCUGAUGUGAAAUCUCACAGCUUAACUGUGAAACUGCAUUGGAUACUAUCCGGCUCGAGGAAUGGAGGGAGACUGGAAUACUUGGUGUAGCAGUGAAAUGCGUAGAUAUCAAGUGGAACACCAGUGGCGAAGGCGGCCGGCUGGGCCGUUCCUGACGCUGAGGCGCGAAAGCCAGGGGAGCGAACGGA